GAGUUUGAUCCUGGCUCAGAACGAACGCUGGCGGCGCGUCUUAAGCAUGCAAGUCGAGCGGCAAGGGGCAGCGAUGCCCCCGAGAGCGGCGGACUGGUGAGUAACGCGUGAGUGACCUAUCCCUGGGGCGGGGAUAGCCGCUAGAAAUAGCGGGUAAUACCGGAUAGAGUCGUGCGGCGGGAGCCGUGCGAGGAAAGGAGCCGAGGCUCCGCCCGGGGAUGGGCUCGCGUCCGAUUAUGCUGGUUGGUGUGGUAAAGGCGCACCAAGGCUAAGACCGGUAACCGGCCUGAGAGGGUGGACGGUCACAUUGGGACUGAGAUACGGCCCAAACUCCUACGGGAGGCAGCAGCUAAGAAUAUUCCGCAAUGGGCGAAAGCCUGACGGAGCGACGCCGCGUGGACGAAGGAGGCCGAAAGGUUGUAAAGUUCUUUUCCGCUUGAAGAAUAAGGGGGAGAGGGAAUGCUCUCCCGAUGACGGUAGGGCGGGAAUAAGCCCCGGCUAAUUACGUGCCAGCAGCCGCGGUAACACGUAAGGGGCAAGCGUUGUUCGGAAUCAUUGGGCGUAAAGGGCGCGUAGGCGGCGCUGUAAGUCCGGCGUGAAAGGUGGAGGCUCAACUUCCACAUUGCGUUGGAAACUGGAGCGCUAGAGUCUGGGAGGUGGAGCUGGAAUUCCGAGUGGAGGGGUGAAAUCUGUAGAUAUUCGGAAGAACACCAGAGGCGAAGGCGAGCUUCAAGCYUGGGACUGACGCUGAGGCGCGAAAGCGCGGGGAGCGAACAGGAUUAGAUACCCUGGUAGUCCGCGCCGUAAACGAUGCACACUGGGUGUCGGUUCGUGCGAAUCGGUGCCGAAGCAAACGCGAUAAGUGUGCCGCCUGGGGAGUAUGCCCGCAAGGGUGAAACUCAAAGGAAUUGACGGGGGCCCGCACAAGCGGUGGAGCAUGUGGUUUAAUUCGAUGGUACGCGAGGAACCUUACCUGGGUUUGACAUGACGUCCAAUGCCGUAGAGAUACGACAGCCGGGCAACCGGGGGCGUCACAGGUGCUGCAUGGCUGUCGUCAGCUCGUGCCGUGAGGUGUUGGGUUAAGUCCCGCAACGAGCGCAACCCCUACUGCCAGUUACCAUCAGGUAAUGCUGGGGACUCUGGCGUAACUGCCGGUGACAAACCGGAGGAAGGUGGGGAUGACGUCAAGUCAUCAUGGCCCUUAUGUCCAGGGCUACACACGUGCUACAAUGGGCGGUACAACGUGACGCGAAGCCGAAAGGCCAAAGCGAAACACGAAAAGCCGCCCGUAGUUCGGAUUGAAGUCUGAAACCCGACUUCAUGAAGGUGGAAUCGCUAGUAAUCGCGCAUCAGCAUGGCGCAGUGAAUACGUUCCCGGGCCUUGUACACACCGCCCGUCACACCAUCCGAGUUGGAGGCACCCGAAGCCGGUAGUCUAACCGCAAGGAAGUCGCCGUCGAAGGUACGUUUAGUGAGGAGGGUGAAGUCGUAACAAGGUAGCCGUA
rnacentral:rRNA from 1 species